UUCGCGUUGGCAGAAUUAAUGCAAUUGAUUUAAGCUCAAUCCAUGAAAAUUUAUUUUCACGCGGCA
rnacentral:tRNA from 1 species